UACGUAGGGGGCUAGCGUUGUCCGGAAUCAUUGGGCGUAAAGCGCGUGUAGGCGGCCCGGUAAGUCCGCUGUGAAAGUCGGGGGCUCAACCCUCGAAAGCCGGUGGAUACUGUCGGGCUCGAGUACGGAAGAGGCGAGUGGAAUUCCUGGUGUAGCGGUGAAAUGCGCAGAUAUCAGGAGGAACACCUAUUGCGAAGGCAGCUCGCUGGGACGUAACUGACGCUGAGACGCGAAAGCGUGGGGAGCAAACAGG
rnacentral:rRNA from 1 species